rnacentral:snoRNA from 16 species
UGAAUGAUGAAACAAACAGACCUGAUCUGAACAGUCAAUGUUGACCAAAACUAAGAAGUUCUGACU